rnacentral:lncRNA from 1 species
GGCAGCAAAUGUAUGAGUCCAGAGGUGAGAACGCAAUGAAUAUCAUCCUCAUUAAGUGAAGCUGGCUCCCUAGGAGCACUCUCAAGAAUGGGAGGAUGAUUCAUAUUGUUCUCAACAUAAAAGUCAGCAGAAUAUGCAUGAGAAACAAUAUCAGAGUUAAAUCCGGAAGGAGAAUCAUAAUCAUAGACACAGGUAGAAGAAGCAGUAUUCACAAAAUCAAAAUAGGUAGACAUGUAAAAGGAAGGAAAGGAAGAAGGUAAUGAAAAUAUGCAACUAAAGUUACCUACAUGCAACACACAAUGACAAACACACAAAACAGAACAUCUCACAUCACAACACAAGACAAGACAACACACACUAACACAACAAAAGACCUAAAACCGAACCGUUGGUCCCCGGCAACAACGCCAAAAUUUGAUGGGUGUCGCGGCCCAUACAAAUUUGAUUGCAUAUGAGAAAUGCAG